CUCUAGUUUAUUUGGUUUUCUUCCUUUUUUUUUUCCAUGGCGUAACUCGUAUUCCUAUUUCGACCCCUCUAAUAUAUUAGUGGAGUCGUGCGCUGUUACAUUUUUACCGAAAUUGGUGUUUAGAGAAUGAUCGUGUAGUUAAAUCAUGUGGUUGAGCAGAGCCAGCCCGACCUUAGCUCAACCCUUUGGGUUGUGGGCCUCAUCGGUCAUUUUUCUUAAAUAAAUUAGCAAAAUUAGUCCAAAAGGAUCAAAUCUUUCUAGAGAUAUUAAUAACAUAAGUCCAUAAGUAGGCAAAAAUAAAAAAAAUAAAAAUAAAAUAAAAUAAUAAUAAUAAUAAUAAUAAUAAUAAUAAUAAUAAUAAUAAUAAUAAAAAGAAGUCCACCCACGAGUCCAAAACAAGUCGGCUCGUGAAAAGAAGUGAGCUCGACUCGCCCCAUGCUCGUCUUAAAUCGAGCCGGAGCGCUCCCAUGGGGUUGGAGUAAACAAGAUGAGGUUGGUAUAGCUACUAAAGGUUGUGGGUGAAAUGUUGAUUGAAGAGUACUAAUAAUUAUAUAUGCUACUGAUGUGGACGUGAUGAUGACUUGAAAGAUAAUUUUGGUGCAAUGGUGUGGGAAAAAAAAUUUGAUUGGAGGGUCAUAAUAUUUUAUACAAGCGAUUGACGUGGAUGUGAUGACUACUUUAAUGAUAUGUCUAGUGCGAUGGAGUAGACAUCAAUUGUGAAUGAAGAAAAGUUUGAAUCUCGAUUUUUGUCACGUCUACCGAUAUCUGGUAUUGCUUCCAAACACGGUGUGAUCCUUUUGCAUCUUACUGACUUUGUUUGGGAUCUAAAGCUUAUUUAUUGUGAUUGUAUAUUAAUAUUUUUGUUAAUUAUCCUGCUUUUUAUUUUUUUAUUUUUUUUUGUCUUCUUGACAAAAAUAAAAAUAAAAAAAAAUCCACAAUUAAAUAUUGGUAUAGUUCUAAUCUUCCUGCUCCGUGUGGCAUUCUCUAGAUCCACGAAACAUAGAGGAGGAUAAAAUAAAAUUCAUGAGCACAUUCCUUUCAUUCGUAGAAAUAGAUGCGUGCGUGAUUAGGUUAUAAACAAGUUUUAGGUAUACUUUUCUCUUGUGUACACGCUUUGGCUACCAAUAUGAAUAUUUUUUUAAUUUGUAUUUCUACGCAAAUUGUGCUGUUGAUUUUAAAUAAUCAAGUAUAAAAAAAUACACCUUUGUUUUGGUUGGUGGGCUGCCAUCACGUGAUAUGUUUUCUUCCAAUUUAAGGCAUCACUGGGCACCACCCACACCCGCCAGCAUUAACUAAUAGCAAUUUGCUUACCUAACCCACUUUUGAUUUAAUCGCCAUGACGUUCCCACCAGUCUGUAGAGCAUGUUCGGCUA